CGGCAUGCAAAGGUUCGAAUC
rnacentral:siRNA from 1 species